GUGCUUGCUUUGGCAGCACAUAUACUAAAGUUGGAACGAUACAGAGAUUAGCAUGUCCCCUGCACAAGGAUGACACACAAAUUUAUGAAGCGUUUCAUAUUUUU
rnacentral:snRNA from 1 species